rnacentral:rRNA from 1 species
AGAGUUUGAUCCUGGCUCAGGACGAACGCUGGCGGCGUGCCUAACACAUGCAAGUCGAGCGAUGAAAUCCCUUCGGGGAUGGAUUAGCGGCGGACGGGUGAGUAACACGUGGGUAACCUGCCUCAAAGAGGGGGAUAGCCUCCCGAAAGGGAGAUUAAUACCGCAUAACAUUAGUUUUUCGCAUGGAGAACUAAUUAAAGGAGUAAUCCACUUUGAGAUGGACCCGCGGCGCAUUAGCUAGUUGGUGAGGUAAAGGCUCACCAAGGCGACGAUGCGUAGCCGACCUGAGAGGGUGAUCGGCCACAUUGGAACUGAGACACGGUCCAGACUCCUACGGGAGGCAGCAGUGGGGAAUAUUGCACAAUGGGCGAAAGCCUGAUGCAGCAACGCCGCGUGAGUGAUGAAGGCCUUCGGGUUGUAAAGCUCUGUCUUUGGGGACGAUAAUGACGGUACCCAAGGAGGAAGCCACGGCUAACUACGUGCCAGCAGCCGCGGUAAUACGUAGGUGGCAAGCGUUGUCCGGAUUUACUGGGCGUAAAGGAUGCGUAGGCGGAUAUUUAAGUGAGAUGUGAAAUUCCCGGGCUUAACUUGGGAGCUGCAUUUCAAACUGGAUAUCUAGAGUGUGGGAGAGGAGAAUGGAAUUCCUAGUGUAGCGGUGAAAUGCGUAGAGAUUAGGAAGAACACCAGUGGCGAAGGCGAUUCUCUGGACCAUAACUGACGCUGAGGCAUGAAAGCGUGGGUAGCAAACAGGAUUAGAUACCCUGGUAGUCCACGCCGUAAACGAUGAGUACUAGGUGUAGGAGGUAUCGACUCCUUCUGUGCCGCAGUUAACACAAUAAGUACUCCGCCUGGGAAGUACGAUCGCAAGAUUAAAACUCAAAGGAAUUGACGG